CAUGUGUGUGCAUGUGUAUUUACUUAUGGGUAUGUGUGUACAUGCGUGUACACACACACACACACACACACACACACACAU
rnacentral:miRNA from 1 species